rnacentral:rRNA from 1 species
UCACCAAGGCGACGAUCUGUAGCUGGUCUGAGAGGAUGGCCAGCCACACUGGAACUGAGACACGGUCCAGACUCCUACGGGAGGCAGCAGUGGGGAAUAUUGGACAAUGGGCGCAAGCCUGAUCCAGCCAUGCCGCGUGUGUGAAGAAGGCCCUCGGGUUGUAAAGCACUUUAAGCGAGGAGGAAGGUCAUCAUACUAAUAUUAUGAUGAAUUGACGUUACUCGCAGAAUAAGCACCGGCUAACUCUGUGCCAGCAGCCGCGGUAAUACAGAGGGUGCAAGCGUUAAUCGGAAUUACUGGGCGUAAAGCGCGCGUAGGCGGUUUGUUAAGUCGGAUGUGAAAUCCCUGGGCUCAACCUAGGCACUGCAUCCGAUACUGGCUGACUAGAGUGUGGGAGAGGAAGGUAGAAUUCCAGGUGUAGCGGUGAAAUGCGUAGAGAUCUGGAGGAAUACCGAUGGCGAC